AUUGAACGCUGGCGGAAGGCCUAACACAUGCAAGUCGAACGAGUGGCGGACGGGUGAGUAAUGUCUGGGAAACUGCCUGAUGGAGGGGGAUAAAUACUGGAAACGGUAGAUAAUACAGCAUACCAUCGGAUGUGCCCAGAUGGGAUUAGCUAGUAGGUGGGGUAAAGGCUCACCUAGGCGACGAGCCCUAGCUGGUCUGAGAGGAUGACCAGCCACACUGGAACUGAUACACGGUCCAGACUCCUACGGGAGGCAGCAGUGGGGAAUAUUGCACAAUUGGCUCAAGCCUGAUGCAGCCAUUCCGCGUGUAUGAAGAAGGCCUUCGGGUUGUAAAGUACUUUCAGCUCGUAGGCGUUACCCGCAGAAGAAGCACCGGCUAACUCCGUGCCAGCAGCCGCGGUAAUUC
rnacentral:rRNA from 1 species